rnacentral:rRNA from 1 species
UACAGAGGUGGCUAGCGUUGUUCGGAUUUAUUGGGCGUAAAGGGUCCGUAGGCGGCCUGAAAAGUCGGAUGUGAAAGCCCACAGCUUAACUGUGGAAUGGCAUUCGAAACUUUCAGGCUCGAGUGUGAAAGGGGUAAAGGGAAUUCCCGGUGUAAGGGUGAAAUCUGCAGAGAUCGGGAGGAACACCAGUCGCGAAGGCGCCUUACUGGAUCACUACUGACGCUGAGGGACGAAAGCCAGGGGAGCAAACGGG